rnacentral:rRNA from 1 species
AGUGAACGCUGGCGGUAGGCCUAACACAUGCAAGUCGAACGGCAGCACAGUAAGAGCUUGCUCUUAUGGGUGGCGAGUGGCGGACGGGUGAGGAAUACAUCGGAAUCUACUUUUUCGUGGGGGAUAACGUAGGGAAACUUACACUAAUACCGCAUACGACCUACGGGUGAAAGCAGGGGAUCUUCGGACCUUGCGCGAUUGAAUGAGCCGAUGUCGGAUUAGCUAGUUGGCGGGGUAAAGGCCCACCAAGGCGGCGAUCCGUAGCUGGUCUGAGAGGAUGAUCAGCCACACUGGAACUGAGACACGGUCCAGACUCCUACGGGAGGCAGCAGUGGGGAAUAUUGGACAAUGGGCGCAAGCCUGAUCCAGCCAUACCGCGUGGGUGAAGAAGGCCUUCGGGUUGUAAAGCCCUUUUGUUGGGAAAGAAAAGCAGCAGGUUAAUACCCCGCUGUUCUGACGGUACCCAAAGAAUAAGCACCGGCUAACUUCGUG